GUGAACUUGCAAAAGCUCAGGACUCAGAGAAGUCUGUCCUUGAAGCUUCUGGUGCUCUCAGAGACCUCCUUGUGAAAUGUUUUAGACUAAGACAAGCCCAACAACACCCAUCUGAGAGAACUGAAUAAAGAAGAAAAAAACAAUGAAAACAAAUCUGUUCUCCAAAUGCCAAACUUACGUAGCCUGAAUGGCGCUACAUCAGUGAUCUUACUUUCCAGGAUGGAGCCAGAAGCCAUAAUACUGUGUACUAGAAGAGCCAGCUUGAAAGACGUUCAUAACAAUCAAAUGCAGAAAGGCUUGCUCUUCCUGGUCUCUGUCCACCAUUGUCGGGAGUCAGGGUCUGAACUGAAGUGCGAACUUGAGAGCAAGCCUACUAUUCCACAAAGCAUUAUCUCUAACCUGGGAAUUCACUCGCUUCCUACAAAGUACCACAGAUGUCAUGGAGGAUGCUACUUGAUGGCUCAUUCACAGGCUCAUGCAUAUACGUGUGUGUGUGUGUGUGUGUGUGUGUGUGUGUGUGUGUGUGUGUGUGUGUGUGUGUGUGUGUGUAAUGCUUUCCAAAAGAAUGUUGCUGCCCACCAUGGGCUGGGUUCUCCUACAUCAAUUAACACUCAAGAGAAUCCCCCACAGCUCAGUCUGAGCAGAGAAGUCUCUCAGUUGAGAUUCCCUUCAUAGAUGAUUCUAGGCUGUGCUGAAUUCAUGGUUAAAACUAGGUGGAGAGAGAUUAUAAUAACAAGUAACGAUUAUUAGUACCUAGUAACUAAGAUGGAAUAGUUAUAAUUAAAAAUUAUUUAACUUUUUGGGAUGCUUAUUUCUGGAAUUUUCCAUUACUGUUUUCCAACCUAGUUGGACUAUGGAUAUCUGAAAAUGCAGAAAACAAAAUUACAAACUGUAUGGCAUUUAUACUCACAAUGCUUCUUUUCACUUGCCACACUGUGCAAGAUGGUAGAUAAAGGGAAUUCAGUGUUUUCAUGUGAUCACACCUACAUAUUUUGAACACUCGAAAUUGCUGAAAGUUUAUUAGAUAGUGAUCUUAUUUCUAAAAUUCAAAGACAGAAGUCUCACUGUUUUACAAAGCAACUCAUAAAUAUUUCUAAGAAAGAGCAAA